GCCACUGCUAUUGGGGUUCGGCUAAGCCAUGCGAGUGGAGGGCGUCCCGCAAGGGAUGGCCCCGCAGACGGCUCAGUAACACGUCGUCAACCCACCCUAGGGUGGGGGACAACCUCGGGAAACUGAGGAUAAUCCCCCAUAGGCGGGGGAGGCUGGAAUGCGCCCCCGCUGAAAGCUCAGGCGCCCUAGGACGGGACGGCGGCCUAUUAGGUAGUUGGUGGUGUGACG
rnacentral:rRNA from 1 species